rnacentral:rRNA from 1 species
UACAGAGGGUGCAAGCGUUAAUCGGAAUUACUGGGCGUAAAGCGCGCGUAGGUGGUUUGUUAAGUCUGAUGUGAAAUCCCAGGGCUCAACCUUGGAAUGGCACCGGAUACUGGCAGGCUAGAGUACGAUAGAGGAGUGUGGAAUUUCCUGUGUAGCGGUGAAAUGCGUAGAUAUAGGAAGGAACAUCAGUGGCGAAGGCGACACUCUGGAUUGAUACUGACACUGAGGUGCGAAAGCGUGGGGAGCAAACAGG